CCUACGGGAGGCAGCAGUGGGGGAUAUUGCACAAUGGGGUGAACCCUGAUGCAGCGACGCCGCGUGGGUGAAGGAGCGUUUCGGCGCGUAAAGCCCUAUCGGCAGGGAAGAAGAUGACGGUACCUGACCAAGAAGCCCCGGCUAACUACGUGCCAGCAGCCGGGGUAAUACGUAGGAGGCAAGCGUUAUCCGGAUUUACUGGGUGUAAAGGGGGCGCAGGCGGCAAUGCAAGCCAGGAGUGAAAGUCCGGGGCCCAACCCCGGGACGGCUCUGGGAACUGCAUGGCUUGAGUAGUGGAGGGGCAGGCGGAAGGCGUGGGGUAGCGGGGAAAGGCGUAGAUAUUGCGCAGA
rnacentral:rRNA from 1 species